GUGGGGAAUAUUGGACAAUGGGCGAAAGCCUGAUCCAGCCAUGCCGCGUGUGUGAAGAAGGUCUUCGGAUUGUAAAGCACUUUAAGUUGGGAGGAAGGGCAGUAAGUUAAUACCUUGCUGUUUUGACGUUACCGACAGAAUAAGCACCGGCUAACUUCGUGCCAGCAGCCGCGGUAAUACGAAGGGUGCAAGCGUUAAUCGGAAUUACUGGGCGUAAAGCGCGCGUAGGUGGUUUUGUAAGUUAGGAGUGAAAGCCCAGGGCUCAACCUUGGAAUUGCUCUUAAAACUGCAAGGCUCGAAUCUCGGAGAGGAUAGCGGAAUUUCCAGUGUAGCAGUGAAAUGCGUAGAUAUUGGAAGGAACACCAGUGGCGUAAGCGGCUAUCUGGACGAGUAUUGACGCUGAGGCACGAAAGCGUGGGGAUCAAACAGGAUUAGAAACCCGAGUAGUCC
rnacentral:rRNA from 1 species